rnacentral:rRNA from 1 species
CGUGAAUAACCUACCUAUAAGACUGGGAUAACUUUAAGAAACCGGACCUAAUACCGGAUAACAUGUUGAACCGCAUGGUUCAACAGUAAAAGACGGUCUUGCUGUCACUUAUAGAUGGAUCCGCGCCGCAUUAGCUAGUUGGUAAGGUAACGGCUUACCAAGGCAACGAUGCGUAGCCGACCUGAGAGGGUGAUCGGCCACACUGGAACUGAGACACGGUCCAGACUCCUACAGGAGGCAGCAAUAGGGAAUCUUCCGCAAUGGGCGAAAGCCUGACGGAGCAACGCCGCGUGAGUGAAGAAGGUCUUCGGAUCGUAAAACUCUGUUAUUAGGGAAGAACAAAUGUGUAAGUAACUAUGCACGUCUUGACGGUACCUAAUCAAAAGCCACGGCUAACUACGUGCCAGCAGCCGCGGUAAUACGUAGGUGGCAAGCGUUAUCCGGAAUUAUUGGGCGUAAAGCGCGCGUAGGCGGUUUUUUAAGUCUGAUGUGAAAGCCCACGGCUCAACCGUGGAGGGUCAUUGGAAACUGGAAAACUUGAGUGCAGAAGAGGAAAGUGGAAUUCCAUGUGUAGCGGUGAAAUGCGCAGAAAUAUGGAGGAACACCAGUGGCGAAGCGACUUAUGGUCUGUACUGACACUGAUGUGCGAAGCGUGGGAUCAAACAGGAUUAGAUCCCUGGUAGUCACGCCGUAACGAUGAUGCUAGUGUUAGAGGUUUCUCCCCUUAUGCUGCACUAACGCAUUAGCACUCGCCGGGGAGUAGACCGCAGGUUGAACUCAGAGGAAUGACGGGACCCCAAAGCGGGGACCAGUGGUUAAUCGAGCAACGCGAAAA